CUGGCCCAGGGAAGCAGCUCCUCACCACUGUAACUUCUGGUUUGUAGCUGUGUAAACCGAGACAGGAUAUAGAUACAUCCUGUCUGAGUUAACAGCAAGAAAUAGGGCCUCACAGUGGGGUUCCUGCCAUAAAUCAGAACCCAUCUGAGAGUAAUCUAGAAUGGUAUGCAAGUCAGGGCUGCAUCCCCAUCAGCCCCGGAGGGAGGGAAGUGUCUGAAACAGGAACCCUGGAGAACUUUGAAGAGUGGGGGUGGAGUGAGCUGUCCUCUUCAGGCACUGAGGUUGCAGCCUGCACUUUCUCAGUGACUGUGCUGAAGUGAUCACAGUGGCUUCAGUCUUCUGUCUCCUUGACCCAGGCCCUGCACCCAGACACGGAGGCUGAAGCUGAGUAUUGCCCCCUGAGAAACUGAAAAACUCACAGAUGUGUUGGGGUGGCCUGGCAGGCCACUGUCGGGAAAGCCACCAAAGAGGCCUGACUCCCAUCUGAAACCCACUGACAGCUGUGGGAACGAAACUUUUAAAAAACUUUUUAAUUAACAGAAGUCACUCUGCACAGAACUCCCGGCUUGGUCAGAUCCAGAUGU
rnacentral:lncRNA from 1 species